rnacentral:rRNA from 1 species
UACGGGGGGGGCAAGCGUUGUUCGGAAUUACUGGGCGUAAAGGGCUCGUAGGCGGCCAACUAAGUCAGACGUGAAAUCCCUCGGCUUAACCGGGGAACUGCGUCUGAUACUGGAUGGCUUGAGAUUGGGAGAGGGAUGCGGAAUUCCAGGUGUAGCGGUGAAAUGCGUAGAUAUCUGGAGGAACACCGGUGGCGAAGGCGACAUCCUGGACCGGUACUGACGCUGAGGUGCGAAAGCGUGGGGAGCAAACAGG